rnacentral:rRNA from 1 species
AUUGAACGCUGGCGGCAUGCCUUACACAUGCAAGUCGAACGGCAGCAUGGAGAGCUUGCUCUCUGAUGGCGAGUGGCGAACGGGUGAGUAAUGCAUCGGAACGCACCGUGUAAUGGGGGAUAACGUAGCGAAAGUUACGCUAAUACCGCAUACGACCUGAGGGUGAAAGCAGGGGAGCGCAAGACCUUGCGUUAUACGAGCGGCCGAUGGCAGAUUAGCUAGUUGGGGAGGUAAAGGCUCACCAAGGCGACGAUCUGUAGCGGGUCUGGGAGGAUGAUCCGCCACACUGGGACUGAGAGACGGCCCAGACUCCUACGGGAGGCAGCAGUGGGGAAUUUUGGACAAGGGGGGCAACCCUGAUCCAGCCAUGCCGCGUGAGUGAAGAAGGCCUUCGGGUUGCAAAGCUCUUUCGGCCGGGAAGAAAUCGCACAGGCUAAUACUCUGUGUGGAUGACGGUACCGGCAUAAGAAGCACCGGCUAACUACGUGCCAGCCGCCGCCGUAA